UUCAGUCUACUAACCUGUUCAGCCCAGAU
rnacentral:piRNA from 1 species